rnacentral:rRNA from 1 species
GGAUUAGAUACCCUGGUAGUCCACGCCGUAAACGGUGGGCGCUAGUUGUGCGAACCUUCCACGGUUUGUGCGACGCAGCUAACGCAUUAAGCGCCCCGCCUGGGGAGUACGAUCGCAAGAUUAAAACUCAAAGGAAUUGACGGGGCCCCGCACAAGCAGCGGAGCAUGCGGCUUAAUUCGACGCAACGCGAAGAACCUUACCAAGGCUUGACAUAUACAGGAAUAUGGCAGAGAUGUCAUUGCCGCAAGGUCUGUAUACAGGUGGUGCAUGGUUGUCGUCAGCUCGUGUCGUGAGAUGUUGGGUUAAGUCCCGCAACGAGCGCAACCCUCGUUCUGUGUUGCCAGCAUUUAGUUGGGGACUCACAGGAGACUGCCGGGGUUAACUCGGAGGAAGGUGGGGAUGACGUCAAAUCAUCAUGCCCCUUAUGUCUUGGGCUGCACGCAUGCUACAAUGGCUGGUACAAACGGCUGCGAUACCGCAAGGUGGAGCGAAUCCGAUAAAGCCAGUCUCAGUUCGGAUUGGGGUCUGCAACUCGACCCAUGAAGUCGGAGUUGCUAGUAAUCGUAGAUCAGCAACGCUACGGUGAAUACGUUCCCGGGGCUUGUACACACCGCCCGUCACAUCACGAAGUCGUAACACCCAAAGUC